GCUGGCAGCUAGCUCUCUGCAACUCUCUUGUGGUCCGCCACUGAAGUUAAGUAAGGCUGCGCCUGGUCAGUACCUGGAUGGGAGACCACAUGAGAAAGCUAGGCUGCUGCUGGAA
rnacentral:rRNA from 1 species